CGUUUAUUACGGUUUCUCUUUUGGUCAAUAAAACCACCAUAACCACCAAAGCCUUGAUCGAUUCAGGUGCGGCAGACAACCUUAUGGAUGAGAACUUUGCUAAAACCGCAGCCUUAACUUUGAUCCAAAAGGCCACACCCUUGGUCGUUGAGGCCAUAGAUGGUAGACCACUUAAGAAACCUCUGGUGACCCAUGAGACCCAAGAAAUAGUGAUGUCUGUGGGUGUUUUGCAUAAGGAAAGGUUAACCUUCCAAAUAAUUGACUCCCCUACUGCUUCCAUCGUUCUGGGUUUUCCCUGGUUAGUGAAACACAACCCUGUUCUCGAUUGGGGUUGCUUGGAUAUACUAUCCUGGGGGGAAUCCUGUCAACGAGACUGUAUGGCUCAGGUACGUCCUGUUUGUUUACUCAACGUGCCCACGGCUAAACCACUCUCUGUUUCUGUCCCUUCUGUAUAUGCAGAUCUUGCAUUGGUUUUUGAAAAGAGGGAGGCAGAUAAACUACCUCCACAUCGUGACUAUGACUGUGCC